GACGAACGCUGGCGGCGUGCCUAAUACAUGCAAGUAGGACGCAGUUGCGAACGGGUGAGUAACGCGUAGGUAACUGCCUAUUAGAGGGGGAUAACUCUUGGAAACGAUAGCUAAUACCGCAUACUAGUAGAUGGACCUGCGUUGUAUUAGCUAGUAGGUAGGGUAAUGGCCUACCUAGGCGACGAUACAUAGCCGACCUGAGAGGGUGGUCGGACAAACUGGGACUGAGACACGGCCCAGACUCCUACUGGAGGCAGCAGUAGGGAAGUGUCGGAAAUGGGGGGAAACCUGACCGAGCAACGCCGCUUGAGUGAAGAAGGUUUUAGGAUCGUAAAGCUCGGUUGUUAAGGAAGCGGUACUUAACAAGAAAGGGACGGCUAACUACGUGCCAGCAGCCGCGGUAAUUC
rnacentral:rRNA from 1 species